AACAUGCCCAUAUUAUGCCAGCUCCAAUACACAGUAUAUCGUGUUUUUCCAAUCUUGUAGCUGGUUUAAUAUGGGUAUGUUAUGCUUUGCAAUGUUAAUAAUAAUGGAUUAUUGAUCUACUUGUAGCACACAAAGUGUUUACCAUCCAUUUUUACUGCAUUAAAAUUUAAUUAGAAUUCCUCAAAUUUCACUAUAAUAGGACAAAACAAGUAUGUAUCUACUAGUGGCACAUGUCACAACACAUCUUUAAGAUGGCAUAAUAUGGGCAUUUUAUGGUAUGCAAUAGUCAUCACGCUGGAUUAACUAACUAUUACUGGCACACAUCAAAAUAAAGUCCACCAGCUAUUUUUAGUGAUUGUAUUAUUUUUUACAUAGGGGUCAUCAAUGUUCACUGUAAUAUAACUACUUUGUAGCUAUCGUCUCGUAUCUGUGCAUGAGAGUGCAUCCAACUCAGUUCCCCUACCCCCAAAAAAGUGUUGUGCAUUUGCGCACCAAAUUCUGGCGGAAAAUGAAGUGCGGUGGCUUGACUUCGUUUUGAGAAUGUCGGCUCAAUUGACCGCAGUCCUUGAGAUGCAGGAUACAAGGCUCAAUUGUGCUAGCAGGAUUUAGGAUUUAGGAUUAUCAUUAAUCCACAAAUUCAGACUUUGACAUGCGAGAGCAAAAUGAUCAAAACCAAGGGAUAUAUACUACCCACCAAAUGUUCACAUUCAAAUACUGUUGCUGAUAUUUCUCUCCAGCCUGUCAAAAUCCCAUGGCACCAUUCCGAACGCACGUCUCAGGACAAGUGGACGACAUCUAAAUGCGCACGGAUGGAGAGCUUCUUGGAAAGUGUUGUCCGUGCGUAAUCGCAUUAUCUGACCUGCAAAAACGCAGGCUGACAACCCAGUCGCAUAAUAUUCUUUACUGUACUUUUUUAUUGUUUUCUCUCAUUUAUUAAAAUGCCACUCUUCAUUAACCGAGACCAGAUAUUUGCGCACCAAGUGCACCUUCUGGAGCACAAACUGCGGAGCAAAGAAGAACGCAUUCUGGAGUUGGAGACUGAAAAUGCCAUUCUUCACCUGAGGCUCGCCGAUUGUCUGGGGAAACUUCGUCGGGAUCAUGCAGAAGAGGCAGAAGCAGAAGCCCAGAAGCGUUGGCAACACCAGAGAGUUGUGCAGCAAAGCACCCAGUCUGCCCUGGCCAAACUCCUGUCUGAAGUUCAGGUACACAGAGUUACACAGCUGUAUUGUUUUGUUUAGUUCAGAGGAAGGCCAACAUGGUGUCC
rnacentral:lncRNA from 1 species